GUGAGUGGCGGACGGGUGAGUAACACGUGGGUAACCUGCCCAGAAGCAGGGGAUAACACCUGGAAACAGAUGCUAAUACCGUAUAACAGAGAAAACCGCCUGGUUUUCUUUUAAAAGAUGGCUCUGCUAUCACUUCUGGAUGGACCCGCGGCGCAUUAGCUAGUUGGUGAGGUAACGGCUCACCAAGGCGAUGAUGCGUAGCCGACCUGAGAGGGUAAUCGGCCACAUUGGGACUGAGACACGGCCCAGACUCCUACGGGAGGCAGCAGUAGGGAAUCUUCCACAAUGGACGCAAGUCUGAUGGAGCAACGCCGCGUGAGUGAAGAAGGGUUUCGGCUCGUAAAGCUCUGUUGUUAAAGAAGAACGUGGGUGANGAGUAACUGUUCACCCAGUGACGGUAUUUAANCCAGAAAGCCACGGCUAACUACGUGCCAGCAGCCGCGGUAAUACGUAGGUGGCAAGCGUUAUCCNGGAUUUAUUGGGCGUAAAGCGAGCGCAGGCGGUCUUUUAAGUCUAAUGUGAAAGCCUUCGGCUCAACCGAAGAAGUGCAUUGGAAACUGGGAGACUUGAGUGCAGAAGAGGACAGUGGAACUCCAUGUGUAGCGGUGAAAUGCGUAGAUAUAUGGAAGAACACCAGUGGCGAAGGCGGCUGUCUGGUCUGUAACUGACGCUGAGGCUCGAAAGCAUGGGUAGCGAACAGGAUUAGAUACCCUGGUAGUCCAUGCCGUAAACGAUGAUUACUAAGUGUUGGAGGGUUUCCGCCCUUCAGUGCUGCAGCUAACGCAUUAAGUAAUCCGCCUGGGGAGUACGACCGCAAGGUUGAAACUCAAAAGAAUUGACGGGGGCCCGCACAAGCGGUGGAGCAUGUGGUUUAAUUCGAAGCUACGCGAAGAACCUUACCAGGUCUUGACAUCUUCUGCCAACCUAAGAGAUUAGGCGUUCCCUUCGGGGACAGAAUGACAGGUGGUGCAUGGUUGUCGUCAGCUCGUGUCGUGAGAUGUUGGGUUAAGUCCCGCAACGAGCGCAACCCUUAUUACUAGUUGCCAGCAUUCAGUUGGGCACUCUAGUGAGACUGCCGGUGACAAACCGGAGGAAGGUGGGGACGACGUCAAAUCAUCAUGCCCCUUAUGACCUGGGCUACACACGUGCUACAAUGGAUGGUACAACGAGUUGCGAAACCGCGAGGUUUAGCUAAUCUCUUAAAACCAUUCUCAGUUCGGACUGUAGGCUGCAACUCGCCUACACGAAGUCGGAAUCGCUAGUAAUCGCGGAUCAGCAUGCCGCGGUGAAUACGUUCCCGGGCCUUGUACACACCGCCCGUCACACCAUGAGAGUUUGUAACACCCA
rnacentral:rRNA from 1 species